CGUCAUGGCAGAGAAGAGGGCUGCGUCUGGGCAAUCACUGUUGUUUUUACUAAUUUCGGUGACUCUAUUACAUUUGUUAAUUUGUCCUUUUACAAAAGUUGAAGAGAGUUUCAACUUACAGGCAGUGCAUGAUAUUCUUUAUCACAGACUUGAUUUUGAAAAGUAUGACCACCAUGAUUUCCCUGGUGUGGUGUCAUGGACAUUCCUUGGACCUGUAUUCUUAUCAACGGUCUGCUCCCCACUAAUCUACCUGCUGUCACUACUGGAGGCUUCCAAAUUCUACACACAACUGAUGGGCGAGGUUGCCUGGGAGUGUGUGUGACGUUAGCUCUAUGGCGCAUGCAGAGGGAGGUUCGGAGGCAGUUUGGGUCGACAGUUGCGGGACUAUUCUCUCACCUGCGCCUCACAGUUCCAUCUCAUGUUCUACAGCACGAGACCCCUCCCCAAUGUAUUUGCACUGCCAAUAGAUCAGAACUGUCUCUCUACCUGGGUCUGAUGCUGCUCAUGUCAUUACUGAGCAGAAGGCUAGGGAUCCUUCAACUGCUCUACUAUGCCAUUCCUGCAGGUGCUCUUUCACUAGCUUUGACUGUCGGCAUUGACUCAUUCUUCUGGAAUAAGCUGAUUUGGCCCAAGGGCCAGGUACUCUGGUACAACACCAUCCUGAACAAGAGCUCCAACUGGGGAAUAUCCUUCACUUCACUCAAUGCCUGUUAUAAACUCAUAACAAUGUUCACAAAGUCAACUAAUUAAAUAAUUCAACACAGCUUUAGACACCUGCUUUUCCUUGAUCGAUUCUGAGUUAGUAUAAACGUUUGUGAUAAUAUUAUGAAAGUAAAGGGUUAAUUUUCCACUCAUCACGGAGAGCCCACUUUUGACCUGAAAACAACAACUUGCUACCUUUCCCUUUCCUUGACUUUCUCCCCCAGUAAACCGCCCCCUUUCUGUGGUACUUCUACUCUGCUCUGCCCCGUGCUCUGGGCUGCGCAGUGCUGUUCGUCCCCUUAGGCCUGCUGGACAGACGGACACGCACCCUGCUGCUGCCUACUGUAGGAUUUAUCCUGCUUUACUCGUUCCUGCCCCAUAAGGAGCUACGCAUUAUCCUCUACACCUUCCCUGUGCUGAAUAUAGUGGCCGCACGGGGCUGCUCCUUAAUGGGACAUGUGGAAUGGACCUUAAAAAAAGUAUGAUUCUUGGUCCUACAGUCUGAACAAAUACCACAAAUCUUGGAUGUAUAAACUUGGCUCCUUAAUCGUGGUUGGCCAGUUGGUGACAAAUGCUGCAUACUCCAGCAUAUCUCUGUACGUGUCCCAUCACAACUACCCUGGAGGCCGGGGGGUGCAGGUACUGCAUAAACUAGUACCAUCUACAUCAGGUAUGACAAGAGAGAAGACAUUGGCCCUGGACACCCUGAUAUGAAGACAUACUCCCAUGUUCUGAUGGAGGCCAAUGGCACCCACAUAGCACUACUCAGACGCCCACGGGCCUUUGGCCUUCAUCCAAGGUUACAGCAACAUAACGUUGAAUGCCUUUCUUCAGUAUAAACCUGGGAGACAAACUGGUGUUGCUAGAAAGAGUACCUGACCCUCCCAGUUGAACUGAGGAAAGUGAUGUAGUUUUUCAGGAUUUGGUAUUUUAUGACCAUAUUGUAAAUAACUAAAACUAAAUUGCAGUGUAUAGAGUUCUGUUUUCAAUCACUCUUUUGGGAUAUAAGUUGGUUGGAACCAGAUAUUGGUAGGAUACACUGAUAGGAUCACCUGCUUUGUCAUUUACAUAUAAAAAAUAAAAUAAAGUCUGGCUAGGCUAGCUUAGAUCUCCAUUCACAUGCAAAGUGUAUACAGGCCUUUCAUUACUUCAACUGAAAAUGAUCCAUAUCCUCCAAUUUUACUCCACCAAACCAGGUAACUGGUUUAAUGUCUAACACUUCCUCCAAACGAAGUGGUCAGAUAACCCCAGUGCAAUAACUGCCAUCCUUCAAAACAGUGUUUUUUUUAUCUGAAAUAAGUUCAAAGAACUCAUUAUGCUAGUUCUCCAUUUAAUGUUUUGUAUGUAUUUAUAGUUUCCUAUAUGAACAAAACCGCUCAUUGUGAGCUUUGGAAUAAAACUGAAGAGGAAAUGUU